rnacentral:rRNA from 1 species
ACGCUGGCGGCGUGCCUAAUACAUGCAAGUCGAGCGAGCUGAAUUCAAAGAUCCCUUCGGGGUGAUUUGUUGGAUGCUAGCGGCGGAUGGGUGAGUAACACGUGGGCAAUCUGCCCUAAAGACUGGGAUACCACUUGGAAACAGGUGCUAAUACCGGAUAACAACACGAAUCGCAUGAUUCAAGUUUGAAAGGCGGCGCAAGCUGUCACUUUAGGAUGAGCCCGCGGCGCAUUAGCUAGUUGGUGGGGUAAAGGCCUACCAAGGCAAUGAUGCGUAGCCGAGUUGAGAGACUGAUCGGCCACAUUGGGACUGAGACACGGCCCAAACUCCUACGGGAGGCAGCAGUAGGGAAUCUUCCACAAUGGACGCAAGUCUGAUGGAGCAACGCCGCGUGAGUGAAGAAGGUUUUCGGAUCGUAAAGCUCUGUUGUUGGUGAAGAAGGAUAGAGGCAGUAACUGGUCUUUAUUUGACGGUAAUCAACCAGAAAGUCACGGCUAACUACGUGCCAGCAGCCGCGGUAAUACGUAGGUGGCAAGCGUUGUCCGGAUUUAUUGGGCGUAAAGCGAGCGCAGGCGGAAUGAUAAGUCUGAUGUGAAAGCCCACGGCUCAACCGUGGAACUGCAUCGGAAACUGUCAUUCUUGAGUGCAGAAGAGGAGAGUGGAACUCCAUGUGUAGCGGUGGAAUGCGUAGAUAUAUGGAAGAACACCAGUGGCGAAGGCGGCUCUCUGGUCUGCAACUGACGCUGAGGCUCGAAAGCAUGGGUAGCGAACAGGAUAGAUACCCUGGUAGUCCAUGCCGUAAAGGAUGAGCGCUAGGUGUUGGGGACUUUCCGGUCCUCAGUGCCGCAGCAAACGCAUUAAGCGCUCCGCCUGGGGAGUACGACCGCAAGGUUGAAACUCAAAGGAAUU